rnacentral:rRNA from 1 species
AUUGAACGCUGGCGGCAGGCCUAACACAUGCAAGUCGAGCGGAUGAAGGGAGCUUGCUCCUGGAUUCAGCGGCGGACGGGUGAGUAAUGCCUAGGAAUCUGCCUGGUAGUGGGGGAUAACGUCCGGAAACGGGCGCUAAUACCGCAUACGUCCUGAGGGAGAAAGUGGGGGAUCUUCGUACCUCACGCUAUCAGAUGAGCCUAGGUCGGAUUAGCUAGUUGGUGGGGUAAAGGCCUACCAAGGCGACGAUCCGUAACUGGUCUGAGAGGAUGAUCAGUCACACUGGAACUGAGAAACGGUCCAGACUCCUACGGGAGGCAGCAGUGGGGAAUAUUGGACAAUGGGCGAAAGCCUGAUCCAGCCAUGCCGCGUGUGUGAAGAAGGUCUUCGGAUUGUAAAGCACUUUAAGUUGGGAGGAAGGGCAGUAAGUUAAUACCUUGCUGUUUUGACGUUACCAACAGAAUAAGCACCGGCUAACUUCGUG